rnacentral:rRNA from 1 species
AGUGAACGCUGGCGGUAGGCCUAACACAUGCAAGUCGAACGGCAGCACAGUAAGAGCUUGCUCUUACGGGUGGCGAGUGGCGGACGGGUGAGGAAUACAUCGGAAUCUACUUUUUCGUGGGGGAUAACGUAGGGAAACUUACGCUAAUACCGCAUACGACCUACGGGUGAAAGCAGGGGAUCUUCGGACCUUGCGCGAUUGAAUGAGCCGAUGUCGGAUUAGCUAGUUGGCGGGGUAAAGGCCCACCAAGGCGACGAUCCGUAGCUGGUCUGAGAGGAUGAUCAGCCACACUGGAACUGAGACACGGUCCAGACUCCUACGGGAGGCAGCAGUGGGGAAUAUUGGGCAAUGGGCGCAAGCCUGAUCCAGCCAUACCGCGUGGGUGAAGAAGGCCUUCGGGUUGUAAAGCCCUUUUGUUGGGAAAGAAAAGCAGCAGGUUAAUACCCCGCUGUUCUGACGGUACCCAAAGAAUAAGCACCGGCUAACUUCG